rnacentral:rRNA from 1 species
UGUUCUUUAAAUAGGGACUCGUAUCAACGGCAUCACGAGGGUUACACUGUCUCCUUUUUCUAAUCAGUGAAACUAAUCUCCCCGUGAAGAAGCGGGGAUACUACUAUAAGACGAAAAGACCCCAUGGAGCUUUAAACCCAACUACACUCCUAUCCUCAAUAACCACAUAACUAAAAGGACACUGUAUGCUUGGUUUUAGGUUGGGGCGACCACGGAGUAAAAACUAACCUCCAUGAUGAACGGACCUACCCCCUUAUCUAAGAGCCACCCCUCUAAGAAUUAGCACACUAACAUAAAAUGAUCCUUUUCUUGAUCAACGAACCAAGUUACCCUGGGGAUAACAGCGCAAUCCAUUU